CAAAGCAGAAUAGAUGAUCGCCCCCGCCAGAGGCGGGGGAGGAAAGUCCGAGCUCUCCAGGGCAGAGUGCCUCGUAACCCGAGGGCCCGCAAGGGUUCAUCCCGCCUUUGGCUGGAUUCACCCUGAAGGGACGGAAAGUGCCACAGAAAAAAGACCGCCCCGAGUCCCGCCAAAGGCGGGAUCGAGGGGUAAGGGUGAAAAGGUGGUGUAAGAGACCACCCGUUCCCGUGGUAACACGGGUUUGGGCAAACCCCACUCGAGAGCAAGACCGAAUAAGGAAGGAUUCAUCCCGAUCCCGCUCCAGGCGAGAGAGGGAGAGGUAGCCCGCUUCAUCCUGAGCCAAAGGCGAAGGACUUGUCCUGAACCGAAGGUGAAGGAUAACUUCCGGGUAGGUCGCUUGAGGUGCCGAGCAAUCGGCAUCCCAGAUUGAUGAUCAUCAUCCUGAGUCCCGUUUUUUACGGGAUCGAAGGGAACAGAACUCGGCUUAUUUCCUGCUUUGGCAA
rnacentral:RNase_P_RNA from 2 species